rnacentral:misc_RNA from 1 species
UUAAUUCUAGGUUUGAUUCAGACACAGGCGGCUGGGUUGCAUAAAUACGGCGCCACGGGGGCGCCGAAGCACGGCUCGCUUCCACGGUUUUUGGGGUUUGAAGGCCCAGAGGGCCCUCACUCGGUAAUGAUCCUUCCGCAGGUUCACCUACGGAAA